UCGGAUUGUAGUCUGCAACUCGACUACAUGAAGCUGGAAUCGCUAGUAAUCGCGAAUCAGAAUGUCGCGGUGAAUACGUUCCCGGGUCUUGUACACACCGCCCGUCACACCAUGGGAGUCAGUAACGCCCGAAGUCAGUGACCCAACCGGAACCGGAGGGAGCUGCCGAAGGUGGGACCGAUAACUGGGGUGAAGUCGUAACAAGGUAUC
rnacentral:rRNA from 1 species